rnacentral:pre_miRNA from 1 species
AUCAAUUUUUACUCUUCGUCUUAUUUAAAUUAUUUUACAAUUAACAUUUUUGUUUUUAUUAGAUGAUAAAUCAUAAAUAGUACUUUACGCGCGACUAUUUUUUUUUAAUUUUUUGAAAUUUUUUCAAAUAAGACGGAUGGUCAAACACCGUACACGAAAACCAA